rnacentral:rRNA from 1 species
GAUGAACGCUAGCGGCAGGCUUAAUACAUGCAAGUCGAGGGGCAGCAUGGUGUGUAGCAAUGUACACUGAUGGCGACCGGCAAACGGGUGCGGCACACGUACGUACCUUACCCUUAAGUGGGGGAUAGCACGGGGAAACCUGGCUUCAUACCUCGUAGCACUGUUUGGUGGCAUCACCGAGCAGUGAUAGCCCCGGCGCUUAAGGAUGGGCGUGCGUCCCAUUAGUUAGUGGGUUGAGGUAACGGAUAACCAAGCCUGCGAUGGGUAACUGGGGUGAGAGCAAGACCAUUCACACGUGCACUGAGAAACGGGCCCGACUCCUACGGGAGGCAGCAGUAAGGAAUAUUGGUCAAUGGCCGCAAGGCUGAACCAGCCAUGCCGCGUGGAGGAUGAAGGCCCUCUGGGUUGUAAACUUCUUUUAUGGGGGACGAAACCCUGGAUUUUUAUCCAGCCUGACGGUACCCCAGGAAUAAGCACCGGCUAACUCCGUGCCAGCCGCCGCGGUAAGAC